GGCGGUGACUAUAGCGGAGAGGAAACACCCGUUCCCAUCCCGAACACGGUAGUUAAGCUCUUCAGCUCUCACGAUACUGUGUGGGCAACUGCAUGGGAAAAUAGGACGUUGCCGCUU
rnacentral:rRNA from 1 species